ACUCAGGGAAACUUGAGCUAAUACCGGAUACGUCCGAGGUUUUAAUCGACCUUGGAGAAAGAUUUAUCGCCGGAGGAUUGGCCCGCGUCUGAUUAGCUUGUUGGUGAGGUAAUGGCUCACCAAGGCGACGAUCAGUAGCUGGUCUGAGAGGAUGAUCAGCCACAUUGGGACUGAGACACGGCCCAAACUCCUACGGGAGGCAGCAGUGGGGAAUAUUGGACAAUGGGCGAAAGCCUGAUCCAGCCAUGCCGCGUGAGUGAUGAAGGCCUUAGGGUUGUAAAGCUCUUUUACCCGGGAAGAUAAUGACGGUACCGGGAGAAUAAGCCCCGGCUAACUUCGUGCCAGCAGCCGCGGUAAUACGAAGGGGGCUAGCGUUGUUCGGAAUUACUGGGCGUAAAGCGCACGUAGGCGGAUCUUUAAGUCAGGGGUGAAAUCCCGAGGCUCAACCUCGGAACUGCCUUUGAUACUGGGGAUAUCGAGUCCGGGAGAGGUGAGUGGAACUGCGAGUGUAGAGGUGAAAUUCGUAGAUAUUCGCAAGAACACCAGUGGCGAAGGCGGCUCACUGGCCCGGUACUGACGCUGAGGUGCGAAAGCGUGGGGAGCAAACAGGAUUAGAUACCCUGGUAGUCCACGCCGUAAACGAUGGAUGCUAGCCGUUAGACAGCUUGCUGUUUAGUGGCGCAGUUAACGCGUUAAGCAUCCCGCCUGGGGAGUACGGUCGCAAGAUUAAAACUCAAAGGAAUUGACGGAAUCGA
rnacentral:rRNA from 1 species